ensembl:lncRNA
UUGUUAUUCUUGUGUUACUUUUUAUUAUUACUUUUUAUUUUAGCCUACUUGGUCAAUAUUUUCUUCUUCUUGAACUGCACUGUUGGUUAAGGGCUUGUAAGUAAGCAUUUCAUGGUAAAGUCUACAGUGUUGGUUAAGGGCUUGUAAGUAAAGCAUUUCACGGUAAAGUCUACAGUGUUGGUUAAGGGCUUGUAAUAAAGCAUUUCAUGGUAAAGUCUACAGUGUUGGUUAAGGGCUUGUAAGUAAGCAUUUCAUGGUAAAGUCUACAGUGUUGGUUAAGGGCUUGUAAGUAAAGCAUUUCAUGGUAAAGUCUACAGUGUUGGUUAAGGGCUUGUAAGUAAAGCAUUUCACGGUAAAGUCUACAGUGUUGGUUAAGGGCUUGUAAUAAAGCAUUUCACGGUAAAGUCUACAGUGUUGGUUAAGGGCUUGUAAGUAAAGC